rnacentral:rRNA from 1 species
AACGCGUGGGUAACCUGCCUCAUACAGGGGGAUAACAGUUAGAAAUGACUGCUAAUACCGCAUAAGACCACAGCACCGCAUGGUGCGGGGGUAAAAACUCCGGUGGUAUGAGAUGGACCCGCGUCUGAUUAGCUAGUUGGUAAGGUAACGGCUUACCAAGGCGACGAUCAGUAGCCGACCUGAGAGGGUGACCGGCCACAUUGGGACUGAGACACGGCCCAAACUCCUACGGGAGGCAGCAGUGGGGAAUAUUGCACAAUGGGGGAAACCCUGAUGCAGCGACGCCGCGUGAGCGAAGAAGUAUUUCGGUAUGUAAAGCUCUAUCAGCAGGGAAGAAAAUGACGGUACCUGACUAAGAAGCACCGGCUAAAUACGUGCCAGCAGCCGCGGUAAUACGUAUGGUGCAAGCGUUAUCCGGAUUUACUGGGUGUAAAGGGAGCGUAGACGGAUGGGCAAGUCUGAUGUGAAAACCCGGGGCUCAACCCCGGGACUGCAUUGGAAACUGUUCAUCUAGAGUGCUGGAGAGGUAAGUGGAAUUCCUAGUGUAGCGGUGAAAUGCGUAGAUAUUAGGAGGAACACCAGUGGCGAAGGCGGCUUACUGGACAGUAACUGACGUUGAGGCUCGAAAGCGUGGGGAGCAAACAGGAUUAGAUACCCUGGUAGUCCACGCCGUAAACGAUGACUACUAGGUGUCGGGUGG